UACAGAGGGUGCGAGCGUUAAUCGGAAUUACUGGGCGUAAAGCGUGCGUAGACGGUAGCGUAAGUCAGAUGUGAAAGCCCCGGGCUCAACCUGGGAACUGCAUUUGAGACUGCUCUGCUCGGGUGCGGAAGAGGGAAGCGGAAUUUCCGGUGUAGCGGUGAAAUGCGUAGAUAUCGGAAGGAACACCAGUGGCGAAGGCGAUCACCUGGGGUUGUUCUGACGCUGAGGAGCGAAAGCUAGGGGAGCAAACGGG
rnacentral:rRNA from 1 species